rnacentral:rRNA from 1 species
ACGCACGCUGGCGGCGUGCUUCACACAUGCAAGUCGAACGGAAAGGCCCUGCUUUUGUGGGGUGCUCGAGUGGCGAACGGGUGAGUAACACGUGAGUAACCUGCCCUUGACUUUGGGAUAACUUCAGGAAACUGGGGCUAAUACCGGAUAGGAGCUCCUGCUGCAUGGUGGGGGUUGGAAAGUUUCGGCGGUUGGGGAUGGACUCGCGGCUUAUCAGCUUGUUGGUGGGGUAGUGGCUUACCAAGGCUUUGACGGGUAGCCGGCCUGAGAGGGUGACCGGCCACAUUGGGACUGAGAUACGGCCCAGACUCCUACGGGAGGCAGCAGUGGGGAAUAUUGUACAAUGGGCGGAAGCCUGAUGCAGCAACGCCGCGUGCGGGAUGACGGCCUUCGGGUUGUAAACCGCUUUCGCCUGUGACGAAGCGUGAGUGACGGUAAUGGGUAAAGAAGCACCGGCUAACUACGUG